UACGUAGGGUGCGAGCGUUAAUCGGAAUUACUGGGCGUAAAGCGUGCGCAGGCGGUUCGUUAUGUCCGAUGUGAAAGCCCCCGAGCUCAACUUGGGGAAUGGCAUUGGAAACUGGCGGGCUGGAGUGUGGCAGAGGGGGGUGGAAUUCCACGUGUAGCAGUGAAAUGCGUAGAGAUGUGGAGGAACACCGAUGACGAAGGCAGCCCCCUGGGCCAACACUGACGCUCAGGCACGAAAGCGUGGGGAGCAAACAGG
rnacentral:rRNA from 1 species